rnacentral:rRNA from 1 species
UACGUAGGGGGCAAGCGUUGUCCGGAAUUAUUGGGCGUAAAGAGCGCGUAGGCGGUCCGAUAAGUCGGCUGUGAAAGUCAGGGGCUCAACCCUUGGAAGCCGGCCGAUACUGUCGGACUAGAGUCCGGAAGAGGCGAGUGGAAUUCCCGGUGUAGCGGUGAAAUGCGCAGAUAUCGGGAGGAACACCAGUGGCGAAGGCGGCUCACUGGCCCGGUACUGACGCUGAGGUGCGAAAGCGUGGGGAGCAAACAGG